rnacentral:lncRNA from 12 species
UUUUAGGUAUUUUUGGGUGUAUAUUUGGGAUAUUUUGAGAUUUUUCGGGACAUUUUGAGAUAUUUUGGAGAUAUUUUAAAUGCAUUUUGUGGGUAUUUUGGGGGUGUUUGAGUCGUAUUUUGGGGUGUAUUUUUGGGAUCUUUCGAGAUAUUUUGGGUGUAUUUGGGGGGUAAUCGAGUUGUAUUUUGGGGUGUAUUUUGGGGUGUAUUUUGAGAUAUUUUGGAGGUAUUUUGUGGGGUAUUUUGCGGUACUCGCGGCGGAUUUUGGGGUUAUUCCCGAGGCAUUUUGGAUUAUUUGGAGGGCAUUUUGGGGAUAUUUUGUCCCGAGGGUUUUGGGAUCCCCCCAGCCCCUCAGGGGACCCCCCCAAUUCCCACGCCAGAGCCCCCCAGUGAUGGGAACCCCCCCGCUCAGUGUUCGGGUCCGGUUCGGGUUCACUCGGGCCAGGUUCGGGUUCGUUCGGCUCCGCUCGCGUCAGUUCGGGUUCACUGGGGUCAGUUCGGGUUCUUUCGGAUCCGCUCGGGUCUGUUCGGGUUCUUUCGGAUCUGCUCGGGUCUGUUCGGCUCCGCUCGGGUUCACUGGGGUCAAUUCGGGGCUUUUCGGCUCCGCUCGGGUCAGUUCAGGUUCACUGGGGUCAGUUCGUGUCCCUUCGGUUCCGCUCGGGUCUGCUCGGGUUCUGUCGCGUCACUUCGGGUCCCUUCGGCUCCGCUCGGGUCUGCUCGGGUUCCCUGGGGUCAGUUCGUGUCCUUUCGGCUCCGCUCGGGUCUGUUCGGGUUCUGUCGCGUCACUUCGGGUCCCUUCGGCUCCGCUCGGGUCUGUUCGGGUUCCCUGGGGUCAGUUCGGGUCCCUUCGGCUCCGCUCGGAUCGAUUCCGGUUCCCUGCGGUCAGUUCGGGUCUGCUCGGCUCCACUCGGGUCAGUUCGGGUUCUGUCGGGUCAGUUCGGGUCCCUUCGGCUCCACUCGGGUCUGCUCGGGUUCACUCGGUCGAAUCCGGCUCAGGUUCGGGUCCGUCCGCUCCCACUCGCUCCCAGUUUAGCCCCCACCAGCUCCACCAGUGCUCCCAGUAUUCCCAGUAUUCCCAGUACAUCCCAGUACAUCCCAGUAUCCCCAACCCAGUAUUCCCAGUAACUCCCAGUACAUCCCAGUUCACUCCCACUGACUCCCAGUAUCCCCAUCCCAGUGCUCCCAGUAACCCCCUUAAACUCAUCCCAGUAAAUCCCAGUUCACUCCCAGUAGCCCUCCAGGGGCUCCCAGUUCAUUCCCAGUAAAUCCCAGUUUGCUCCCAGUGCUCCCAGUAACCCCAUCCCAGUAUCCCCAGUAUUCCCAGUUCGCUCCCAGUAAAUCCCAGUUCAUUCCCAGUAACUCCCGGUAUCCCAAAAUUUUCUUUUAAAACCCCCAAAUUUCACCUUUGACCCAAAAUCU